AAAAAAUUUUUUUAAUUAAAAUUAAUUUUUAGUUUAAAAUUUUGUUCAUAAAAUAGUUAUAUAUAUAUAUAUAUUUAAUAAAUAUCAUUUUAAUGAUUAAUAUUUUUAAAAAUUUUGUAUAUUUUAAGUUAUUUAUAUAAAUAUUGAAGAAAUUUGUGCCAGCAUUUGCGGUUAUACAAAUAAUAUAAUUUAAUUUUUUAUUAUUAUUAUUUAUUAUAUUAAAAUGUUUUAGGUGAAAUUAAUUCAUUUUGUUUAUUUAAUUAGGUAAAAUAAUAAUAUUAAUAGAAUUAGAUACUCUAGUAUUUUAUAAGAAAAAUUAUAUUUUGAAUUAAAUGUUUUAAUCAUUAAAUAAAAAAAAAUUGGUAGUAUUUUGUAUUAAUUAGGGGAACCUGCUUAUUAAUUUGAUAAUCCACGUUAGGUUAUGUUUUAUAAUUAUAUUUAUAUAUUUCUGUAGUUGUUAAUAUUUUAAAUUUUUAACAUUAAAUUUUUUAUUGAAAUUCAAGUCAAUAUAUAGUUUUAUAAAGUUAAAUUGGGUUAUAUUAUAAAAAUUUUGAUAAUUAAAUUUAAUUUAUUUAAGUUGAAUAAACUUAAAAGUAAAAAUUUUAAAUUAAGAAUUUUGAAUAUUUUAUAAGAUAUAUUCAAAUUGCCCGUCAUUUUAUUUAAGUAAACAAGUCGUAACAUGGUAAAUUUAUUGGAAAAUGAGUUUAAAAUUUUUU
rnacentral:rRNA from 1 species